rnacentral:rRNA from 1 species
UAGAGUUUGAUCCUGGCUCAGAGUGAACGCUGGCGGCGUGCUUAACACAUGCAAGUCGAACGAGAACGGAACAUAGCUUGCUAUGUUUGUCAGCUAAGUGGCGGACGGGUGAGUAAUGUAUAGCUAAUGUGCCCCUUGGAGAGGGAUAACAGUUGGAAACGACUGCUAAUACCUCAUACUCCUUCUAUGUUAAUCAUAGUUGGGAAAUGUUUUUUCGCCAAGGGAUCGGGCUAUAUGGUAUCAGCUAGUUGGUGAGGUAAUGGCUCACCAAGGCAAUGACGCCUAGCUGGUCUGAGAGGAUGAUCAGCCACACUGGGACUGAGACACGGCCCAUACUCCUACGGGAGGCAGCAGUAGAGAAUCUUCCGCAAUGGACGAAAGUCUGACGGAGCGACACCGCGUGGUGGAUGACACCCUUAGGGGCGUAAACACCUUUUAUGAGGGAAGAAAUUCUGACGGUACCUCAUGAAUAAGGACCGGCUAAUUACGUGCCAGCAGCCGCGGUAAUACGUAAGGUCCAAGCGUUAACCGGAAUUAUUGGGCGUAGAGCGUCCGCAGGCGGUUUGUUAAGUUGAUUAUUAUAUACCGAAGCUCAACUUCGGUGCUGUAGUCAAAACUGGCAAACUAGAGAUAUGGAGAGGUGCGUGGAAUUGUGCAAGUAGGGGUAAAAUCCGUAGAUAUGCAUAGGAACACCAAAAGCGAAGGCAGCGCACUGGCCAUUAUCUGACGCUCAUGGACGAAAGCGUGGGGAGCGAAAGGGAUUAGAUACCCCUGUAGUCCACGCCGUAAACGAUGCGUGCUCGAUGUUAGGACCCUCGACCUGGUCUUAGUGUCUAAGAUAACUCGAUAAGCACGCCGCCUGUGUAGUACGAUCGCAAGAUUAAAACACAAAGGAAUAGACGGGGACCCACACAAGCGGUGGAUUGCGGGGUUUAAUUCGAUAAUAAGCGAGUAACCUUACCCAGGCUUGACAUCCUAAUUAUAUUUUCUAGAGAUAGAGAAGUCGGUUCGGCCGGAUUAGUGACAGGCGCUGCAUGGUUGUCGUCAGCUCGUGCCUUGAGGUGUACGGUUAAGUCCGCGAACGAGCGCAACCCUCAUCAUAUGUUGCAUUUUCAUGUGAGACUGCCGAUCAUAAAUCGGAGGAAGGUGAGGAUGACGUCAAAUCAGCAUGGCCCUUAUGCCUGGGGCUACACCCACAAUACAAUGGCUAGUACAAACUGAAGCGAAGCAGCGAUGCGGAGCGAAUCGGAGAAAACUAGUCUCAGUUCGGAUUGAAGUCUGAAACUCGACUUCAUGAAGCUGGAAUCGCUAGUAAACGUGUAUCAGUCAUGGCACGUUGAAUAUGUUCCUGGGUCUUGUACUCACCGCCCGUCAAGGCAUGGAAGUUGGGAGCACCCAAAGUCUGCGAAUUAAUCGUGGCCUAAGGUGAGUUCAAUAACUGGGCUUAAGUCGUAACAAGGUAACCG